GGCUGUGUAUAAGAGUUCCACAGAGAGGCUUGGGUGCUUGUCUGGCUGCUGUGAGGGGGGAACUCCUGAUGACUCUCAGAGAAGUGGAAGCAGCCCCACAAGAAGAAGUGUCAUGGAUGGUGGGAAGUAGAAGCACAGAGUCAUGGAAAAAAUGUGUUUUUUCACUUCAGGACUCUUCUCCAUGGCAUGGGUACCACAUAGGUUGAGAAAGCGUGCACUGCAGGGUGAAAACAAUGACACAAGUCCUGGGAUGUUGCAAAAAUGUAUAUGCAGGAAUACAACACAUCAUUUCAGCACAGACACAUGGAGGAAGACUCCUAUAUCCAGUUUUGAAAAAGUGAGAGUUACUUCAACCAAGCACAAUUAUUUUCACAAUUUGUCUGCUGGAGUACAGUUGCCUACAUGCAGGAAAUGAAUUAGAAAAGACAACUCUACUUGGUUUAAAAAAUAAUAGUUUAGCAAAGAACCACAAACCAUUUAUUUUUACAACCUGUAAGACAGACGUAGUGCUGGCUUGACCAGCCAGCUUCAAUAAAAGCUCUCAUCCCAAGAUAAAGGAAACCAUUUAGCAGCCAUUUGAAAUGACCAUAAGGUACCAUCAAAUCUUCUCUGAUAGGCACUGUUGUGUAUUAAAUCCCUUUGCUUGUUUUGUUAAUCAAAACUAUCAUCCAUUAGGAUCAGAUCAAGAAAUCUGGAGUGUUCUAAAAAACUGUCCAGCAAUAGUUUAGACCUGAGCUAAAAUGGGCACCUUACUGAAUACCUCAUACUCUUCAUCAUGAUUCACCACCCCCCCAUUAUUUGGACUAAGAUACCUACAUUACAUGUAGGGGGUGUUUCUUCCUUUUAAAGCAGCC